rnacentral:snRNA from 1 species
GAUCAUCAGAGACUUAAAUACU